rnacentral:misc_RNA from 1 species
CACCUGCUUUCUAAGGAGCACCACGAGAAACACUCCAAUUGGUGGGGUGUGAGCCGUGAGGGGUUCUCGUCUGUAGUGGACGAGGGCCGGGUGCACAACAACAGGCAAUCGCCAGACACACUAUUGGGCCCUGAGACAACACUCGGCCGACUUCGGUUGAAGUGGUGUCCCUCCAUCUUGGUGGUGGGGUGUGGUGUU